CCCGUCACGCCUCUCAACAAUGCGCACCAGACGGGC
rnacentral:sRNA from 12 species